rnacentral:rRNA from 1 species
CACGUAGGGCGCAAGCGUUGUCCGGAAUUAUUGGGCGUAAAGAGCUCGUAGGCGGUCUGUUACGUCUGCUGUGAAAACCCAGGGCUUAACCCUGGGCUUGCAGUGGAUACGGGCAGACUAGAGGCAGGUAGGGGAGAAUGGAAUUCCCGGUGUAGCGGUGAAAUGCGCAGAUAUCGGGAGGAACACCGGUGGCGAAGGCGGUUCUCUGGGCCGAAAUUGACGCUGAGGAGCGAAAGCGUGGGGAGCAAACAGG